AAAAAUUAUAAAAUCACUAACGGAAAAUUCUCCAUUAGUGACGGUAAUAAAAUUGUCACUAAUAAAAUUACUAAUUGACUGCCAUUCACCGUGUCUUUCUUGCUCGACAUUGCUCACACGAUCUAUUGAGGGCGAGGGCUUGUUCCCUAUCAUCAGUACCGAGUUAUUUCCUCUCCUUCUCUUUGAUGUGUUUGUUGUUUGAGCAAGGACGAUCGGCGACAACAACAAGUAGAAAAAGAGGGGUAGACGAGGGGCUUUGCUUCUACUUUGAAGCUUGAUUUUGGUCGAUUCCGGUCAUGGGCAAAGCAAUUUCUUCAAUUGGGAAAGAAAUUACGGCAAUGAAAUUAUUAAAGGUCUGAUAAGAGCCCAGCUGAUAUGAAAUCAAUUGUGCCCGUAGUUAUAGCUGGAGUUUUGGGUAUAUAUGGUCUGAUUAUUGUUGUGAUUAUCAGUACCAGAAUUAGUCGCAAGGCCGACGUAUUAUCUCUUCGAUGAUACGCUUACCUUUCUUAUAGUCUUGCUUGUGGCCUCGCUGGUCUCUCUGCUGGUAUGGCAAUUGGCAUCCUAGGGAAUGCUGGUGUUAGUUUGCUGCGUGGAUUGCUGCAUUAAUAAUCUGUCACUACCUAGCAGUUGCUGCCAAUUUGAGCAAGGUUACUAAUAAAAGUGUAGCUUCAUGUUUAAGAGUUGCUUGCGUUCUGCUACUGUUCAUAUAAAAAAGCCAUCUCCCAUGAAUAUGGAACUUAUUGUAUGCAGCAAGGCUUAUACUGUAAAGGAUCUAAUUUUUACAGCUUUGCGCUAAAUAAGGCAGAUAGCUCAAGAGGUUUCUCAGUCUAAUGUGACCAACUGGGGCAGAUGACCAGCAACAUUACAAGCAUUGAGUUAGAGGUUAAGCAGGUUAAUAGCUCGUAAUGUUUUACGGAGUACUAAGCAGGAGUGGUAUAGAAAAUUAAACGAGUUUGCUACGCAGCAACAAAAGAAAAUGAGUGAGCCGCCAAACAUAGAUGAGGGCCAACUGAAUUACGAGACAGUUGGCGGUCCUAGACUUCUGCAUAUUUCUAUAGUUCUUCACAUAACUCUACCUCAUUCUCUUCUGCACCCAACGUGGAUAUUGCUUUGAGUAAGCAAAUGAAUUUGAUGAUGACUAAAAUUGAUAAGCUCGAGACAAAGAAUGGUAGACUAAACUUGGUUGUGGAGUAGCUGCAAGAGUUUAUGCAUAAGAUGAUGGCACAACAGGGUAGUGGGACAUCCUCUCAAUUUCCUCCUACCCCUGCUCCACAACAACACUGUGGUGAUGCCCUAUUUGAUCUGACUAGCAUGCAGACAGCGAUGAAGAUAUAGAUGAUGAGCUGGAGAGUUUAAUUUGAUAUGUUUUAUAGAUGAUGUCUUUUUUUGUUUAACUUGUAGAACUGAGUACAUAUUCUACUUAAAAUAGAUAUUAUUAAUGCAAUGUUUGACAUUUUAAAACA